rnacentral:rRNA from 1 species
CACGCCGUAAACGGUGGGUACUAGGUGUGGGUUUCCUUCCUUGGGAUCCGUGCCGUAGCUAACGCAUUAAGUACCCCGCCUGGGGAGUACGGCCGCAAGGCUAAAACUCAAAGGAAUUGACGGGGGCCCGCACAAGCGGCGGAGCAUGUGGAUUAAUUCGAUGCAACGCGAAGAACCUUACCUGGGUUUGACAUGCACAGGACGCACCUAGAGAUAGGUGUUCCCUUGUGGCCUGUGUGCAGGUGG